GCCUAUUUACGCGCUCUCCUUGAGGUGAAAAACAAACAACUGAAGAAGAUUUCAGAAGUGGACGAACACUUUUUCGCAAGCAGGAUUUGUCGCCCCCAUGUGUUUUCUUACUUUCGUCUUCGGCCGCAACAGGCCAAACACAAUGCAAUGAGUGAGCCAGUCAGCAUUGGUCUGAAACCAGACACUUCUAGAGGUAUUCCACCGAGGAAGGGUAUGAAACACAUUUUUGGAAAAGUUAAAGUUGACGAUUUUUAUCCAGGUGGAAAGAAAAAUCAGAGUUUUAAUAUCUCCAUGAAGAAAGAGGACAAACGCCAAACCAUGCCAAUACAUAGUUUAAGCUACAGCAAAUAGAUAUUAGGAUAUUUCUUUUCCUUCCGUAAGAAUCAUUAAAAGCUGAUGCAAAUUGCAAAUCAUGAUACAUUGUAACUUAAUCGACAAAUGUAAAUUAUGAAGAGAAACAAUUAAAAUUAAACACAAAAUUAUUUAAAU
rnacentral:misc_RNA from 1 species